GCCGGGCACAGGGACACCGAAAGCGGCGGGCUGCGCUACCGCUGGAGCUGCAGGGGCUGGAGGGGGCGGCGGGAACAGCGGGGCUACCGGCGGAGCCGCCGCCGCCGGGACAAGCGGUGGAGCCGCGGGCGGUGCCUGAGAGCCGGCACAGGCGGGACCGCGGGCUCCGGGAGCGGCGCUGCAGCUGCGAGCGGCGCCACAGGAGCCUGGGCUUGGGGCGAGGCAGGCGGGAAUGGAGGGGGCGAUGCUGCCAGGGGCUCCCAGCCCUUCUCUUUCUUGCUUUCCCUUUGCUCCUUUCUUUGGGUCUCGGACAACUUUAAAAUUCUUAUCCCCUCAGACUCUGUUUCCCACCCAGCAUGAAGCGUACUUGCUUUCUUCUGUGGUAACGAGUUCUUUUGAAUUUACAAAUACUUAUAAAGCCUGACAGAUCCAGACUUCAAGAGCCAUGUCUGGGCUAGAAGACACGGUCGGAUCUUAUUUCCUUCUCGGCCCAACCAAACAUCCAAAACUGGAUCAUUUUGACUUUGCUCGUUUCCUUUGUACUUGGGUUUGUAUUCCAGUUAGCCAGCAUCACUCCCCAAGGGCUUUCCUGGGGUAUUUCCGCUGGCACGCCUCUAUUCCCUUUUUUAUUCCCUGACUCUUGCUUACUAGUUUUAUGUCCCAUUUUCUCAGAAUCUUAUCUAUCUUCCCCAGGCCUUUGUUUCCCACCUUUUUAAUAAAAACCAGCAAAACAAACAACUAUUCAAACCUCACUGCCUCUUUCCCCUUUCUUCUCCUAGAAUACAAAAGUUCCCGCCUCUUAAUAAAAUACGCCUCCUUCCAGAAAAUAAAGUUCUAUUUCAAGGUUUAGCAUUUCUAUCACCUACAUUCUCAUUCAUUCUCACUCACUCCUUUUUAUUGUUCCAACUUCUCUUUCUCAGGCGCUAUCAGUCACAACCACACAAGACUUAAUUUCAAAUUGCUGCCCAAUAUUCACCCCUGGGCCCAUAAUUCCAGGUUUCUUGGAGUAAUCCUCAAUUUGGCAGAAUUAAGCCUGGAUUUCUUGAAGUUUUAACCCUCAAUCCAGCAGCCUCAAAACCCAAAUGUCUCGGAACCAAUCCUCCAUUUAGCAGAGUUAAGCCCAGAUGUCUUGAAUUUUUGAACCCUCAAUCCGGCAGUCUUAAACCCUAAAUUUCUCGGAUCCCAUAAUAGGAAAUUCUUGACUCCCCUCCUUCAAGGAGUCCAAUCCCUCCCCUGAAAGCCCGUCCCAGUUAACCCGGGGCUUCUCUCACUCCUUUUAUCUUUGGCUUCGCCUCUUUACUGACUGCUUCCCUCGCGGCAGAGCAGAGCCGCAGCCUCAGAGGCUCCACACUCGCUUCGCAGCUCUGGGGUAACCAGCCCGCGUCUCAUGCACACGCUUUCAUCCCCUUUAUCCCCCCAAAAAGAGAAAAGAAAAAAUACCUUUCUCGGAGUCUUGGUGCACAAGAUUUUACGUGUUUAAUUACCGUGGUACCUCAGGGAGCCUUUUCUUUCCUUUCUUGUUACUUUGUCUCCUCUCUUGCGCUCCGGGUGUUUGACUGCAAAGCCCCCUGACCCCGCCGGGAAGCACAAAGCGAGGCCGCCAAAAGCGGCGGGGGCACCCCCCUGCUCUGGGUUCCCCGGGAGAUCCCAGAGCUGAGCCUUUAUCCCCGUACGGGCCCCAAAUUGUGAAACACGAGGUUUGCUAUUUGUAAAAUUUGAAGGAAAGUUUAAGAAAAGAGACAAUUCGGAGACAACAGCACAAAGGGCGGUACGGCCGGCUGCUUCGGCAGAGAGCCAAAGGCGCACCUGUACAGCCAAAAGAUCGGCUUUAAAAGUACAUCGCUUAUUUCGUAUUUCUCACCUGUUGGGGAGUGCCACUGCUGGUUUGAGUGAAGUGAAGCUUUGGCUGCAGGGAUCCCAGGCUGCUUAACUGGAUGGUGACAGUUUCAAAGUCACGGCUGUGCUGAGCAUUUCACAGCUCUGCAGGGAUUUCAGGUGACUCUCAUUUCCAGCUAGGCCACAGUAUGGCUAUGGCUUCAUUGUGGGGAAAAAAAAAAGAGUUUUGGAAUGGUUUGGGUGGGAAGGGACCUUAAAGAUGGUUUAUUUCCAACCCCCCUGCCAUGGCAGGGUGUGGAGAGCUUGCUGCUCUUUGGUCCUGAAAGUGGGAUUGGCCAUUUAUACAGUGCUGGUGUUUAGGGAAGACUCUUCAGUGCCACAGAUCUGAUUUUCCCCUUAUUUUCUCUCCCUUUAGGGGUUUAUGUGUGUGGUGCAUCUUUCCUGUUGGCUCAGUGGGGCCUUCUUGCAUCUGGGCUGUCCAAUUUCCUCGUGUGCUUUGGACAACUGUGUUUGCAAGUCAUUACGCCUCACAAUUUUUCAGCUCAGCCUCUGAAUUUUUGUAGUUUGCAGAGCUCCUGUGCCAAGCUAUCAUUUGGUAUUUUUAUAUGUGUAAAACAGAACAUGCAGGAAACACUUUUUAUAUUCUGGAGUUGUCAUUGUAGAAGUGACUUUGCAGAUGGUGCAUCAGUUGCUUGGAAAGAUUUGACAGCAUCCUGGUUUUGCCUUUCAAUAACCUUUCUGUCAUGAAGAUUGGCAAUUGUGUUUGAGUUGGCACUUACUCUUUUCAGCACCCCAUGUUCUAAGUACUUUUUAUUUUGGUGGCUUGGAAUGUGUUAUCUCUAAUAAUGUUUCCCUUACCUGAACAAGAGAACUGUGAUAGAAGCCCAUGAACAAACCCCUGAUACUCUGUUCCCCUCUAAUCUCAUGAAUCAUUUAGUUGCACGUAGCAAUAUAAAUGUUUAAAUAUCUGGUCAGAAUGCAAAUAGUUCAUUGUCAUUCUCUGUGUUGGCAAGGGAGUGACAUUUGUAAGACACCUGGAGGAUGAAAUGUGUCACAAAGUGCUGUUCUUUAAUCUCAGGGCUUUUAGAGUGCUGGGCCAAGGAUCCCUUAGGGAUGGAAUCACCUCUUCAUCUUUACUUUCGUCUUCAAAUACAACUUCAACACAGGUUUUGUUUUGCAAGUCACAGAGUCGCCCAUGGCUGGUUUUUCACUUGGCUGCAGCAGUUAAAGCAGGUAAAGUGCAGGUGAAAUUCAGCUCAUCUUGGCUCCUGCUGUCAAGGAGACCCCAGGUUUUUAAAGGUUGGUAAAACCUCUGUCAAACACGGUGGGGUUCAGCUCCUGCACUGAAGGUAUUUUCAGGGCUUAUCUGGGAUUCUGUAUCUCAGCUGAUACAAAACUGUUUUCCACAGGAUGAUCUCCAGCAUAACCUCCAGUGCAAUGUUUAUUAAUCCACAUUUUGUAGAGCAGAUUUGGGACCCCUUUACACUCCACUAUACAAAUGAGAUGGAUAAUUAUUCAGUAAUUACAGGAAGCGGUGUGUAGCCGAAGCACUGAUAAUUUUGUGAUAAUAAAAUCACUUCCAAGAGCAAAAAGAGACUGAAUUCUAAAUACUGAAGCCACAUUUUCUGUAGGAACAACAGAGCUGAGCAGUUUGGUUUGCAUGAGUCAGUGGUUCAGAUAAUUUAUCUAAUGUCAUUCUAAUAGUCUGAUUCAUGAGAGAGAAAAAAAUAUGAAUAUAUAUAGGAAUAAUAAGGCCUGACAGAAAUUAUUUAUGACCAACUUUGUCUUUAUUUAGAUUGCAUGAGUCAUGCAGAAAACCAAAUUAUUUCGUAAUUAAACUUUAGCUGCUGAUGGGGCUGCACAGAGCACCAAACGCAGGCUGGGGAGGAUUCCCUCAGCAGGAGAUCAAACAGGUUCACAUUAAGGGGAAUUUCACCCAGCUGCUAAAAGGUGCAAUUAAAAAUGGAGUAAAAAAAUUAUGAACAUGAGGAGAACCUCAGGAUGUGCUCAGUGUUGGACUCCAGGCUAGGCCAGGACUGCUCUCAGCCAUUCCUUAAGGAAAAAUUCCUGUUGGAUUUCUUAGCACAGCCCAGCAAAGCGAGGAAUAACCUUGUUCAGUGGAGUUUUAGGGUCUGACAAGUUUUGUCCUUCAGGCACAGGACAGAAUUCCAUCAAAUCAUCAAAUCUGGGUGCUUUUCCUGCCUUAUCUGUAACAAACAGGGUUGUGCACACCUGACUUACAAUGCUCUGACAGAGAGCACAGGUUUGGUUUGGUUUUUUUUUUUAAUUAGAGUUGAAAUUUCUGCUGUCCCUUGGGUAUCUGGGAUAAGCCUGAAUUUAACCAAGCUCCUGUGUAUGGCCUGGCCUUUGAACAGCAACGUCUAGCACACAAAUAUAUAUUUAUAUAUAAGAUAAAACCUGACUGCCUUUGGGUACAAUCAACUCAGAGGAAAAUUAUUAAUCCCAGCACACAUGGCCAAGGACUGCUGGCACCUCCAACGCUGCUUUUUAUUAACACUUGGGGGAAAAAUAAUAAAGCUUUCAGUUCCAGUUCUGUUGUGAAAGCACUUUUCCCCCCCAGUUUUUAAUCUUGCUGUUAAAAGUUCAGCCAGAAGAGCUUUGGUUCGCUUCUGAAAAUGCGUCCCAGCACCAGUGUUGACAUGUCAGGGAUCAAACUGCCUCUGGGAGAGGUUUUAAACUUAGGGCUUGUUUCUUCUUGUACGGAUUGGAGAAAUACUCAGGUGUUUUUUAUGUGGGUGCUACCCAGGUGAAAUAAUUGUGGCCAUUUCAGCUCUUGAAGAGUAAUGGGUGAGUUGGAGAUGUCCAGGAUGGCAUUUUGAGGAGUUGACUUUUAUUUUGCAGAAAAUGCUGCUGCAACACAUGUGCAAAUAGAAAUCCUAAAAUUACUAUUUUAAAAUAUAAAUAUUAAGAGUCAUUAUUUUUAUGUAAAAGAACAACAUGUACUUCAGUGUAGAAGAAUUUUGGUCCUAAUGACGUUUUAUUGCAGUCAGGAUAUUUCAUUUUAGACCAGUGGUAGGAAAAUCAACUGCAGAAUUUAUUUUGCUCAAUUUAUUUAAUUUGACAGAGCUACAGUUGAAGAUAUAUUUCUUGUGGAUGUUGCUGUGAGAUUGCAGAAGUCUUGGAAUUAUCCUCUCCCAGAUUAUCCUCCUCACAGUUCAUUCCUAUGGGAUGUGGCCAUGGAGGAAUUGGAAUAUUUGGGAAUAGUCAAGGAGAUUACAGCACCUAUUUUUCCCUCUCCAUCACUCCUCUGGCACCUCAUUAGUGCAGGUACAAAGUACCUUGGGAUGAAGGAGGUUUUAGGAUAUUUUAAAUUGUGGCGUGGUUGCUUGUGAGUUUUUUCUUAAGUUCUUGAAGAAGAAUUAACUAAGGGCACAAAAUACAAUUUAUACUCAGCUUUUCAUUGGACACAGAGCUGUCAGAAUUUAACAAAGCUCAAAACCCAGUAUUUUCACUCUGAUAUUGCACUGUGAUGGCCAAAUUUAUCUGAAAUGAAACUCAGAACUCACCCCCUGCUUCUCCUGCUCCCCAGCAGUGGUUUCCUUUCAGCCACGUGCAUUCUCAGUGAUAUUUGCUGGUAUUUUGCAUUCUUUUUCCAUUUACUUUGGGCUUUUUAAGCUGUCACCUCCCCAGCCAGCUCCUGCCCAGUGUUGGAAGUGUUCCUGGUGCUCCUUGGUGACAUCAGCACCAGGAUGUCACCUCAGCCUGGAUUUAUUUAUUGGCACUGCCUCGCACUUCCCAACACAUCAUUUCGUUGCCUUCUAUUUGCUCUGACAAACAUUAAUAACAUAAAAUUGCCUUUCAUUUCCUAGCAAAGCAAAGAUUUAUUGGAUAGCCCCACUAAGUUUCAGCUGGUGCCCGUUGCCAUGGCAACAUGCAGGAACUUCAGGAAUCAUCUCCAGAAUUUCCUGAGUUUGAUGUCAAAUAGGAACAGCUUGGAAAGAUUUCCUUACACUGAACAGGACAGCAGGGACAAAGAUCCCACUCUGGUGGAACUCUUCUAGAUAUAAAAGUUAGGAAUUUUCCCAGGGUAUUUUGUAACCUAUUUUCAUUUGUCCUUUGUGCUGCAAAGGAGAAUACAAAGUUUGCUUUUUAUCUUUUUCGAUUUGAUGCCUUGGUGGUGAGCUCUGGGUCAGGUUGGCUGUUCCCACUCUUCCCAGUGUGCUGGAAAACAGGGAUUUAGGCUCUUGGCUUUGCUCACAUGGGGACCUGUAAAAUGUAAAAUGUUGAUAUUUUAAUGACUGGAGGUGUAGAGAUGCAAAGAUAAUUCACAAAUGGGAAAAAACAAAUUAAUCAGACAAUUAAUAUAAAAGGAUAAAGGGAUUAAUUCAGAGCCAAAUCAGUGCCCCUCAGCUGUAAUGGAAUCUGAAGGAGAAUAUAUUCUGUAUAAAGGCAACUUUCCUGAAAAUCUCAGCCAUUUCCAGGGACUGUUUCAGCAUUAAUGUGCACAUCAAAGUUUAUUCUGCACUUCAUAUUUCUCAAAUCAGGCCACGGAGUUGGGUUGUUGGGCAUCAACACCAGUUACCCUCAGCAAACAUGGGAACCAAAUUGUCCUGAAAGGAGAAAGUUGUGGUUGAGCUUGGAAAACGCUGCAGUCUCAGGCUUUUGGUGGUGAAAUGGAAUUGAAUUAAUGAGCUGGAGGAGUCUGAAUAAUUACACAGCAACAGAGAAAGCAAACAGAGAAAUGUGCAACAACUCACAAAACCCCAACAAAAUGAUUUGCAUUUCACACCCACUCUGGUUCGUUUGGAAGGGAGGAGGAGAAGGAGCUGAGACCCACCUUGCUGGGAGAAGGUGACAGCAGCAGGGUUUGGAGUGUUUAAAUUGUGUUUUAUACUCAGUGGUAGAGCCGUGUCUUCUGCUCACAGUGCAUUCCCUUGAAAACACACGUGGAAAACCAAACAGGGCUUUGGAAAAACACCUGAGCUUCAUUCUCAUGGGCAGAUUUCCUGGAUUCACGGCUGUGGAUCCAUACAAAAAUUCCUCUAUGAGGAAUUAGGGGUGCAAACACAACAAGGAAAUCAUUUUCAUUGUUUUUACCUGGUGGAUUUGCUGUAAGCUGCCCAUUAACACAGAGAGGAGAGAAUUUCUCUCCAGAUGGAUUAUUUCAAAGUCACUGACUGGAGACUUUCCUAUAUUCUACAUAAAAAUCACCAAAAUAAUCCCUCUGAUUGAGGAAGGCAGGGCAGCAGGAGUACAGCUCCCAUCAGGAGUGACAGGAAUGGCUUCACACUGACAUGGAGGAGGUUUAGAUGGGAUAUUGGGAAGAAAUCAUUCCCUGUGAGGGUGGGGAGGCCCUGGGAUGGAAUUCCCAGAGAAGAACUUUUUGAAUUUCUCAUUUUUUUGAACACUUAACCAACACCAGAAUGCUCCUGGAAUUUCUGUUCAGUUCUUUUCCUCCUCCUCAGAUUAGCUGGAUUAUUUACUCAUGUCUCAGCUACUCCAAGGAGGAAUUAGUCCAUGUUUUGAGAGCUUUGUAAAACAUCAUGUAGGUGUCAGGGUUUUAAAUAAUCUCUCAGAUAGCAUUUAUCUCUAUAUUUAAUAGGCUUUCAAUUAGCAUGCCAAUGGACACUGACUCGUUUUAACGACACAGCCACGUUUUUAAUUGCAGCAUCGCCCAUUCAGCCUUGUGUCUCAUUGCAACAGGAUUGCUGAAGUGCUGCUUUUAUCCCCAGAUGCACAAGGACAAAGCUUUCACUCAAUUCCCUGCUAUUAGGAUGGAGUGGGAACAUUGUCUCAGCAGGUACAGGAAAGCUGAAAGGGGAAGAGUUCAAGAGCAGAUUUUUUGGGCCCUGCUGCUGAAUGGCUGGAAUUUUAUAGGUUCUCCCCCAAAAUGGGAUUUCUGUGCUAAAUCCCAAACACAGGAGAAAUUGGGAUUAGUUGUAGCUGGAUCUCCCUUUUCUCUGCAGAGUUCACCCUCCUGGGCUGAAAUUCUCCACAGCCAAUGAAUGAGUGAGGUCCUCAGUAAAGGAAGAACAGAACUCCACAACUGUUUCAGAAGUUGGAUAACAGCAAAAUGCUGUCCUAAGUCAGGUGUUCCAUUUGCAGUGUGAGCACACCACAGCCCAUAUUCAGCAUGAAUUCCUUUCCAGCACGCACUCAGAUCCCACUUUGCACUUCCAUCUGCUCCCUUGGAACACCUGUAUUUGUAUUAAAAGCUGGUCUGAUUUCUGGUUUAGGGUCUUUUUUGUCCCUUUUGCGUCCGUGUGUCACCUAUCAGUGAGGUAAAUCUGGUGAUUGCAGGUGGUUUGAUGUCAAGGCAAGCUGCAGGCUUUGAAGUUUUAAUCCAACAAUCCCCUUAGCAGGCAGGAAAGGUUUUGAGACAUCAAUUUUCAGUGUGCUAUGAGUAUAAAAGCAGGGGCAGCUCUGGUGACUCCUCUCCCAGCUGAUGAUGGAAGUGGAGUUUUGGGAGGUGUGACACUGAUCACUGCUGGGAUCUGAAGGGUUCUCUCAAAUCCUUAUCCCUGCUUUCUCACACAGAGCCCGAGUUUGUCUCAGGGAUUUAUCUCCUGGCAGCUGUGCCCUGCCUUGGCACACAGGGCAUUUUUGCAACAGCACAAUCGAUUAUUAACAAAAGCCCCCCAAAGCUUUCACCAUUAUCAUGUUAAAAACCACUUGACUUCAGCUUAGUCUCGUGCUCAGUGUUAAUAUUCUCAUAUUCCUGUGGAAAACAGUGGCUAAGCGUGGAAUUCUCAGGUUCUCAGCACUGCACAGGAUGACGUUUGUGGCUGUAAUAGUGGCACAUUCCCACUGAGUGUUUCAAUACCUUUUAUCUGUAACAUUUGUUGUCAAAAAGGUGAAAAUUGAAGUAAUUCUGAAGCAGAAUGUGACCAAUGUCUGGACUGUGGCAAAAUGGACCAGACUGAGGCUUUCAGCCACUUCCACAAUUAAAAUAAACAAGGCUCAGAUAAACCCAGAGUGGGAGAUAAAUGGAGCUGAGGAUACGACUGCACCCGAUUUCCGCGGGCUUUGUCAUUCCACGUUGACAGCAUCACUCCCCCUCUGCACAACUGUGAACAUUUUGUUCUCACCUGAUCAUUGAUUCCUCUCAUCCUGAGGAACAACUUUAUCAUCAGCUUCCAGAAAUGAGUGUCCAGCCCCUCUCCAUGAGCAGUGCCAUCCUCUCAGGGGGAAGCUGCUCUGGAAUGCUGUUAAAUUCUUGGCACACACUGAAUUUCAGCAAAAAAGAUAGACCCAGACUUGUGAGUCAUUUCCUUGAUUGAUCUAAUUUACCUUGAAGGUUAAUGUAUUCUAAACUGAUUCAGACAUUAAUAACCACUUAAAGAUAUACGAAAGACAUUUAUCUGUAUACCAGGCGAGUGUUGUAACCUCAUUUAUGAUCUCUUCAAUGACUUUGGGAACUCAUUGGCUGAGAUUUAAGAGUGAUUUGAUUGUUUGAUACACAGAGUGGCUGGUACAAAGUAAAAGGUGUUUUAGAGCUCACCAGAUAAUUCUGAACAUGGGAUGUAAUUCUAUUUGCUUACAGUGCAUAAUUAAAACCUUUGUGGGAAGGUGAUGAUGUUUUUUCUUAUGGCAUUCAUUACAAUGUUCAAUGAUUAAAUAAUUGGACCAGAACAAUUCCCAUUCUCCAGUUUGUUUUUGGCUUCUGGGACAGCAGAAUUGAUGGUGCUGCUCUUUCUCCCUGAUUUUUUUAAGACUGCACUGCACCACCAAUACCAGGAGCUCAGUUCUGUCCAGAGUUUGGUAUUUACAAAUGCUGAACAUCUUGAGCUGCCAGGAACUGUGGAGAGUUGCAAGUUUGAAGAAGCAGCAGGGAAUAGAUCAGGCAAAUAGCAUCUGUUUCCUGUAAAUAUUUUGGUUUCUACUCACACCAGAAAGGUGCCCAAACUGGGAGUGAGCAGGCCCCAUGGACAGCUCUGGAUGUUCUGUGUGAUCCCAUGCACUGAUUAAAACCCCGAAGGUGACACACAGGGUGCAGAGUGUGGGACCUUCGCUGCCUGUGGAGUUGGGCUGUGUUUUGUCCGGGUUUUUAUCUCACACCAGGGCUGCAGGAACACGGAAUGCACACUGAGCCCUGGCUGAUUCAUCUCCAGCUCCUCAGUGUCAGACCACAGCUGAGCCCAGGCUGAUCCAGAAGUGUCAAGAGAGAAAGGGACUGGGCUGGAAUCAGGGCUCUGGAUGCAGCUCUGAGCUGCUCAGGCACCCAAAUAAAAACCUGUUCCAUACCGAAGCCAAGCCAAGCAAACAGUUAAAGCUAUAAAAUAAUUAUAAAUGAAGAACAACCACCACAGGCUUCUCUGGGCAAGCUCCCCACCCUCACAGGGAGGAAUUUCUUCCCAAUAUCCCAUCUAAACCUCCUCUCUCAGCUUGUCCCAUUGAUUGGCUGAUAACUGCCCCACCAAAACAAGAAUAUACCCCCAAAAAAUCAUGAAGCUGCUGCUGAGCUUGGUUUGAGAAGCUUGGGCUCGUGAUAAACUGGGGGAAGGAGGCUGUUAUCCCUGCCACUUUGUAUCCCAGCCUGCCAUUAGUCAUUUGAACUCACAGCAUAUGUCAGCCAGGGAAAUUUCUGCAGUUUGGAAAUACAUUAUUGGAGGGUGUUCUCCUGGACAAAAGCUGUCAAAUAUCAUUAGCACAGCCUGUCCAUCUUUUGUGAGGUUUUUUUAAAGAGAUAAAGCUUGGAGCAAUAUGGUGUCAGUCUGUAGAUUAAAUUAAAGGUGGUGAAGUAGAUACUUUAUCGGAUUUUCUACACAAGAAGGUGCAGAUUUGCUACUGAUAAUUCAUAGGGCUCUGGAGAGAUUCCAUCUGUUUAUCACCUGGUGCAUUGAGGAGGAAGAAGUUUUCCUUUAAAUCGUUGUAAAGCCUAUCAGGAUUCCAGGGAGCUGACACCAUGAGGAUCAUUCCAGCCCUUCCCUGGGCCGGUGUAUGUAAAGUGCAAUUAGACAAUUUAGGUUUUCAAAUCUGAUGAGGUUUGGUGAACUGAAAGAGGGAGAUGUCAGCUGGGCAGAGGCAGGAGAAUCCUGAAGGAAAGGGAGAAGCACAACCUCAGGCAGGCUGGUGUUGAUGUCAACAGAGCUGGGAAUUCCUGACAGCAAUUUCUGCUGGGGUUGGGCUGGGCAGCAACGUGCGGCUGAUGCCAAAGCAAAGGCUCUGAAAACCCACGGGGCAGAGGUUCCAGGAUUCCCUGAGUUCCCAUGGAAAGGAAGGAAUGCCAUUCCCACCCUGGAUUUGAGAAUGCAGCACAGCAAUGCCUUGCUUGUGAUUCAGAGGUGCUCGUCUCUCUAACGGCACUGAUGGCAGCAAAAAGGUCAAACCCACCUUCAUUCAUCAUCCCAGUUUUCCCCUGCAGGAUCAGUUUGGGGUUGGUGGCAGUUAAACCGGAAGAGGAAUUGAUUUUCUGGGUGAACACUUCAGAAUUUAGCUGGACACAAAAGCAAAGCCAUUCCCACUGUCAGACACGGGGCUGGAUUGUGUCCUUCACCCUGGUUUUGGUCAGCCUCCAGAUCAGCUUCAUACCUUUGGAUUAUUUAGAAAAAACUCUUAAAGUUUUGCUGAACAAAUUGCUUUUGGACAACUUUUUCUGAAGAAGGGAGAUGUAUUUUUGCCUGGUUCUAACAAAGUGAUUGGAGCUGGCAGCUCAGUUAUGAAGCCAGAGCUUCAUUUUUCAGACUUUACACAGCCACCAAAAGACUUCCACUGGAGGAGGAAGUGUCAGUAACAAAUGGUUACAGUAACUCUGUAGUAAGAAUUAUUCUAUUGCCUGUGGACUGUUGUAAAAUCUCAUUUUGACUUUUCUCAAAAUAAUUGUGUUGUAGGAGAUCCAGGCACUGAGACAGGAAUUGCAGUUCUGACAUCUCAGUAUCAAUGCUGAACGUUCCUGACUAUCCCAGCUCCCAGCUCUCCUCUGCAAGGCAAAGAGAAAGGAAACAGCCAGAAGUUGAUCCUGCCUGGACAUGACCCUGUGGGAAGGGAGAAUGGAAAAGCUGCUUUCAAAGCAGACAAGCUGAAGGAUAUUCCCUGAUUCCCACUCUUCUGCCUCAAGAUGAAAUUUUGGUGAUGAAAAUCAAGAUGAAACUGUGGGAAUGUUAAAGAGGUGCAGCUGCAUCCGCAGAUGUAGAGUUUCCUAUAAACGAGGGGAGCACAAACGAGCAGGAAAGCAGAGCCCUGAGCCUUCCCUCCCUUUUCCAGCCCUUUUCUGCUCCAGCAGAGAACUCGUGCUUCAGGCCAAGAACAAUGUAUGGAAAUGAUCCAGAGGGGUCACCUAAAGGUGUUGCUGGGGAAAGAAGCAAUUUCCAGCCUGAGUGGCACCCUCAGUUUGGAAAACUCCUCUGCAGUCCCACAAAUCCUCCUGAGUUUUGUUCAGGAUGGCCCUGACCAGCACUGCUUGAACAGACAGAGUUAAACCCUUUGCCCCAUCCCCAAGGGGCAGAACACAGGACAGCAUUUCCCAGGCAGUCCCACUAAAAUAUCCCAGCGAAGGAAUGAGGGAAGGGCCUGUUUGUGGGGCUGAGGGAGGUUCGGUGGCACAGCCAUCCCCAGCCAGCUCAUUUUUCACUUCAGUCUUUUUCCCUUUGGUGCUGUCUGCAAAUCCUGGGAGGCAGCUCGGAGAUGUGCUGUGGGUUUGAUCCCGUUGUAUCUCUGGAGCAGCAGCUCUGAUAGCAUUCCUCUCGAUUUAGCACGGACUAAAUGCAAGCUGUAAUAUUUUAUUAAACUAUUCCCACUUCUUCAGCUUGCUGUGUGAGUUAGGCUGUUUAUGAGAUGCCGGAUGGUUAGCAGAAAAAAAAUGGAUUAACAGAAUGCUACAUUCAUUUUUCUCUAACUUCUGGGUCAAAUUUAAUCAGCUUACAAGUCAAAGAAUGCUUUCUGCCACAGCAGUAAACACAGCUGGGAUCCAAAGUGGAGCUGUUGGGGGCAGAAAAAAGGCUCAUGCAGUUACAUUGUCAGCUAAAUUCUUCUUUCAGGCUCUUUCUCACUGCUUGUGAUCCUUGGAAGAAAGAGGCAACUUUUUAAUUUCAGCAAAGGCCAGGUUGCCUGGAUUGCUCAUGUGGCUCCUGUCAGACUUUUCUCAUUCCUAAGAAAUCCCAGCUCUGCAAGUGCUACAGGAGAAAAUUUAUUUCUUCAGUGAAGCCCAAGCGUAGGGAUUAAAAAUAGAGAGGAAACAGAAUUAUUGUGUGAGGUGGGGUGGGGUUCACCCUGCUCCGGUUUUCUGACAGUAAUCAAAGCUGUCUGCAAUAUUGCACAAGGUGAUAUCCCCAAUAAAGGCAGGAGAAGGUUGGGCAUUUAUCAUCAGUUUAUCAAAUUCCCACUCCUGGUGUGCACAGGCCUCAUCUGCAGUGGGAAACCACAGAGCAGGAAAAAGGAGGUGUCUGACUUCACUGAGAAACCGUGGAAAGAAAAGACUUUCUGUCAAACACUGAAUACAGCGAUAUAAUACAUUAUCUUUCAGAGAUCUUCUUAAUUCUGACAAUUCCAGUGUAAAUUUGGUGACAGGAUCUAUUUUCCCCUUUGAGUUGGUGGCACUUCACAAGGACAAUAUGUCACUAGGAUAAUGUGCUUUUUCCCAAAUGCCCCACUGUGCUUUUAGCCAUUUACAUUUCUGACACCUUAAUGCACUCUCUUUGCUGCUGAAAUCAAUGGCUCAUUAAAAUAACUCAAUAGAAUUAUAA